rnacentral:rRNA from 1 species
GACGAACGCUGGCGGCGUGCUUAACACAUGCAAGUCGAACGGAAAGGCCCUGCUUUUGUGGGGUGCUCGAGUGGCGAACGGGUGAGUAACACGUGAGUAACCUGCCCUUGACUUUGGGAUAACUUCAGGAAACUGGGGCUAAUACCGUAUAGGAGCUCCUGCUGCAGGGUGGGGGGUGGAAAGUUUCGGCGGUUGGGGAUGGACGCGCGGCUUAUCAGCUUGUUGGUGGGGUAGUGGCUUACCAAGGCUUUGACGGGUAGCCGGCCUGAGAGGGUGACCGGCCACAUUGGGACUGAGAUACGGCCCAGACUCCUACGGGAGGCAGCAGUGGGGAAUAUUGCACAAUGGGAGGAAGCCUGAUGCAGACACGCCGCGUGCGGGAUGACGGCCUUCGGGUUGUAAACCGCUUUCGCCUGUGACGAAGCGUGAGUGACGGUAAUGGGUAAAGAAGCACCGGCUAACUACGUG